rnacentral:rRNA from 1 species
UACGAAGGGGGCUAGCGUUGCUCGGAAUCAUUGGGCGUAAAGGGUGCGUAGGCGGCGCGGUAAGUCGGGUGUGAAAUCUUGGAGCUUAACUCCGAAACUGCAUUCGAUACUGCCGUGCUUGAGGACUGGAGAGGAGACUGGAAUUUACGGUGUAGCGGUGAAAUGCGUAGAUAUCGUAAGGAAGACCAGUGGCGAAGGCGGGUCUCUGGACAGUUCCUGACGCUGAGGCACGAAGGCCAGGGGAGCAAACGGG